CCUACGGGUGGCAGCAGUGAGGAAUAUUGGUCAAUGGCCGAAAGUCUGAACCAGCCAUGCCGCGUGAAGGAUGACGGCUCUAUGGGUUGUAAACUGCUUUUGUAUUGGGAUAAACAUCCCUACGUGUCGGGGCUUGCAUGUAUACUACGAAUAAGCAUCGGCUAACUCCGUGCCAGCAGCCGCGGUAAUACGGAGGAUCCAAGCGUUAUCCGGAUUUAUUGGGUUUAAAGGGUGCGUAGGUGGUUUGAUAAGUUAGCGGUGAAAUUCCGUGGCUCAACCCCGGAACUGCCUCUGAGACUGGAGAACUAGAGAGUGUUUGCGGUAGGCGGAAUGUAUGGUGUAGCGGUGAAAUGCAGAGAUAUCACACACAACACCGAUUGCGAAGGCAGCUUACCAAGCCAUAACGGACGCUGAGGCACGAAAGCGUGGGUAGCAAACAGGAUUAGAUACCCGUGUAGUC
rnacentral:rRNA from 1 species